CUUGGUGCUUUGAAGGUUGUGCUGAUAAUAUUUAUGACAUAGGUAUUGACAUCACCUGCCGAGGUUCAGACAUGGGGUAGGAGACUGGAGGAGGAAGAGCUCUGGUAUAAAAUCUGCAUGUAAUGAGAGAAGAUAAGCAAUCAAAGAAUUACCCUGUUCUGAACAAUGUCAGGAAUGCCAGUGUGCAUUUGUGGGAGCAGUGUUAGCUGUCACAUGUUUCUCUGUUCCCCUUGUGUUCAGCAUCCUAAGAAUUAAAAAGUUCUUUUGCUUUCAGAGGCAGCCAAAACACUUUGGAUAUUUAUUUAUGCCAAAGGACAUGAGUCUAUGAUACUGUGGAUCCAUCCUGCCAAGUUUUAAGUUUUUUCCUGGGCAGUGUAAAUCACGUUGAAGGCGGACUCUGUAUCAACUGAGCCACCAAGGAAGCCGCUUAGUUGCACCAGGGAAUCCAAGUACUUCUACCAAUACUGUUAGCAGGAUAGACUCAGAGAAUCAGAUCAGCAUCGACUUCUUCCAUCAGGAAGAAAUGAACUACUUUUCCAAGGAAGCAGAGUUUCUCUCAAGCCAGCUAAG
ensembl:lncRNA